rnacentral:rRNA from 1 species
AUUAGUUUUUUAAUUGAAGGCUAGAAUGAAUGGUUGGACAAGAAACAAUCUGUCUCGAUUAAAUUUAUUGAAUUUAACUUUUAAGUGAAAAGGCUUAAAUGAUCUAGGGGGACGAUAAGACCCUAUAAAACUUUAUACUUUAGGGUAGAAGCUAGUUUUAUUUUAAAAUUACUAUUUAAAAGUAUUUUGUUGGGGCGACAAGGAUAAACUAACAAAUAACUGUCUUUUUUUCUUACAAUAAUGUUUGAUAAAAUGAUCCUAAGAGGGAUUAAAGAUUAAGUUACUUUAGGGAUAACAGCGUAAUUUUCUUUGAGAGUUCUUAUCGACGGGAAAGCUUGCGACCUCGAUGUUGAAUUAAAAAUUCUUUAUAAAGUAGAGUUUAUAACGGAAGGUCUGUUCGACCUUUAAAAUUUUACAUGAUUUGAGUUCAAACCG